rnacentral:rRNA from 1 species
CACCGCGGUUAUACGAGAGGCCCAAGUUGAAAGACACCGGCGUAAAGCGUGGUUAAAUUAAAAUUUUAACUAAAGUUAAACAUCUUCAAGACUGUUAUACGUAUCCGAAGACAGGAACCUCAAUCACGAAAGUAACUUUAUAUAAACUGAACCCACGAAAGCUAUAGCA